CCUUCACAUGACCAUAUGCUAUAAAAAUCAAUUUGAGCAACUAGUUGCCUAUAAAAACAUACCUCAAAAAGUGUCAAAUUCUUUAAGAAACAAAGCUUUGAAAAGUAACGAAACAUAUAGGCUGCAGCAUCUGACACAAUCUUUUAUUUUAUUACAUUUUUUUUUUUACUCAACUCUUGAACAUGGUUGGCUUUAGGACCCUGGGCAACAACAAAUGUCAACAUCCUCCUAGUGCACCACCACCUUCCUAUCAUAUUCCGUAAUCACUCUCCCAUCGUGUGGCAUGCCUAACCUGCUCGUUGUGUAGCCUAAACGAUGUCUUUGUCUCCUAACACAUUAUUUUCUAUUUUAUUUAUUUCCACCAUUUGUACUAUUGCAAACGGUCAACUGGGAGAAUCUAGGCUGAGCGAAAGACCUUACGUGGUGUUCCAGAAUCAAAAUCUGGUACUGCUCGUGAGUGUGUUUUCCGUCCUGCUGGUGUUGAUGAUCAUCAUGGCAGUGUGUGUUUACAAACCUGUGCGUCGUCGGUGAAACAGGCUCCAAGGAAACACCAUUUGACACGGGAGGACACAAUGGGACAAUCACAAGUGGUUCACUCACCCUCGUAUUUGUGUUAAGGAUAGAGCCUUUCGGUUAGGGAACGGGCGGACACUAUCAAACGAAUGAUUUGCUGCUAGGCUACAUAUCCCAUCCUUACCUUAAGCCAUAAUCAUGAAAUCAAAGAUGGGAGGAAUUGGUUUUACAACUGUAAGCUUUGCCCACUUGCAUACUCGAGUGUGCAGUACCCGAGCCUAAAUAGGCUACUGUUGAAACGCUUUUUUCUAGUUUCAUUUGAACCACUGUCAGUGAAAUAUGUAUUCACUUCACUAUUAUAGCAGCCUAUUAGUUGCAGAAUAGGCCCAGGUUACUGCGAUUUCAGAACCCUUUUAUGCUGCUGUUUUGUCACCUUUACUACCUAAAAUGUGCACUUUUACUUCUUUGCAAGGAGAAUGUACCUGUUAUUUAUCAGUCUUAUUUUGGUGUAAAUAUUUAUUGCUAGUAUUUUAUUUUUGUUUGUGAAUAUGUUGUGUUUUGGUGGAAUAAAUUGGGGAUGUGUUCUAUAACAUUGGUAUAAACUAGUUGUUUUCUGUAUCAGCUACAGUGAUUAGUCCACUGAUCUGUAUCAACCACUGCCAAACACUGCACCUUUGAUAAUGGUCAUAGAGAAAUUAAAAGUAUCCAAAAAGA